ACCGUAGCCAUUUUGGC
rnacentral:sRNA from 1 species